AUUGAACGCUGGCGGCAGGCCUAACACAUGCAAGUCGAGCGAGCGGCGGACGGGUGAGUAAUGUAUGGGGACUGCCCGAUAGAGGGGGAUAACUACUGGAAACCGUGGCUAAUACCGCAUACUACCGCUUAACCCUCAUGGGAUUAUCUAGUAGGUGGGGUAAAGGCUCACCUAGGCGACGAUCACUAGCUGGUCUGAGAGGAUGAUCAGCCACACUGGGACUGAGACACGGGCCAGACUCGUACGGAGGCAGCAGUGGGGAAUAUGGCCCAAGGGGCGAAAGCCGGAUGCAGCCAUGCCGCGUGUAUGAAGAAGGCCUUAGGGUUGUAAAGUACUUUCAGCGGGGAUGCGUGACGCGAAGAAGAAGAAACGGGUAACUCCGUGCCAGCAGCCGCGGUAAGAG
rnacentral:rRNA from 1 species